AGUGAACGCUGGCGGUAGGCCUAACACAUGCCAGUCGAACGGCAGCACAGUAAGAGCUUGCUCUUACGGGUGGCGAGUGGCGGACGGGUGAGGAAUACAUCGGAAUCUACUUUUUCGUGGGGGAUAACGUAGGGAAACUUACGCUAAUACCGCAUACGACCUACGGGUGAAAGCAGGGGAUCUUCGGACCUUGCGCGAUUGAAUGAGCCGAUGUCGGAUUAGCUAGUUGGCGGGGUAAAGGCCCACCAAGGCGACGAUCCGUAGCUGGUCUGAGAGGAUGAUCAGCCACACUGGAACUGAGACACGGUCCAGACUCCUACGGGAGGCAGCAGUAGGGAAUAUUGGGCAAUGGGCGCAAGCCUGAUCCAGCCAUGCCGCGUGAGUGAAGAAGGCCUUCGGGUUGUAAAGCCCUUUUGUUGGGAAAGAAAAGCAGCAGGUUAAUACCCCGCUGUUCUGACGGUACCCAAAGAAUAAGCACCGGCUAACUUCGUG
rnacentral:rRNA from 1 species